UUGGCCUUAUGACAUUGCAAAAAUCUCUUGUUCCUUGUCUAUUUUUUCAUUUAUGUAAUUUUUAUUUUCUCUAUUUAGUGGACUUCUCUGUAAGAACAUCAGGUUUUACCAGAAAUACCACUUUUACAAAGUUUACAGGGUCUUUCUCAAGGGCACCGCUAAUCUAACAUAUAUUCUUUGUCACAAUCUAGACUCUUCAUAGAAGAUGAAGACUUGCCAUGAUCAAGAAUACCAGCUAUUUGCUGAAGUUCAUCUUUCAAAACGAACAGCAUGGAGUACAGUACUCAUCAGAUGCUGUGAACAGGUGUAGCCCAAAUGCAACAGAUUCAGACUUUGAUGCAGCAAUGGCAGAUCACCUGAAGCACACUGGGGUUGAUGGAUACUUGUUUUAUGGCUGUUUUAACAGUAAUACAAGACUGUUAGGAAAUAAUUUGGUAGUGCCAUAGCUCUGACUUUUAACCAUUAAUGGUGGAACACAUGAAUCACACUCCCGGAAGAGCCGGUGGUCGGGGACCAAGAAAAUGAGUAAACAUUUUGAAAAAAAUGGACUAAAGUAGUGUCAUAUGUUUUUGUAAUACUGUACUUUUGUCAUUUUCAUGUUUGAUUAAUGGCUGCUAAACAUCAAUGUUAAACUCCAUUGCUUUCGAGAUUCUACUAUUUUUAUUUUCUUGUUUGAAUAGUAGCUGUCAAACAAAUGGAAGACCAUUCAAAAAUGUGAUGUUCACUAUAAAAUAUGCUGUGCUAAAUUAAAACACUAAAUUUUGCCUAAAUCCACAAAUAAAGUGUUAUUGUUUGUGAUGUGCA